GACGAACGCUGUCGGCGUGCUUAACACAUGCAAGUCGAACGGAAAGGCCCUGCUUUUGUGGGGUGCUCGAGUGGCGAACGGGUGAGUAACACGUGAGUAACCUGCCCUUGACUUUGGGAUAACUUCAGGAAACUGGGGCUAAUACCGGAUAGGAGCUCCUGCUGCAUGGUGGGGGUUGGAAAGUUUCGGCGGUUGGGGAUGGACUCGCGGCUUAUCAGCUUGUUGGUGGGGUAGUGGCUUACCAAGGCUUUGACGGGUAGCCGGCCUGAGAGGGUGACCGGCCACAUUGGGACUGAGAUACGGCCCAGACUCCUACGGGAGGCAGCAGUGGGGAAUAUUGCACAAUGGGCGGAAGCCUGAUGCAGCAACGCCGCGUGCGGGAUGACGGCCUUCGGGUUGUAAACCGCUUUCGCCUGUGACGAAGCGUGAGUGACGGUAAUGGGUAAAGAAGCACCGGCUAACUACGUGCCAGCAGCCGCGGUGAUACGUAGGGUGCGAGCGUUGUCCGGAUUUAUUGGGCGUAAAGGGCUCGUAGGUGGUUGAUCGCGUCGGAAGUGUAAUCUUGGGGCUUAACCCUGAGCGUGCUUUCGAUACGGGUUGACUUGAGGAAGGUAGGGGAGAAUGGAAUUCCUGGUGGAGCGGUGGAAUGCGCAGAUAUCAGGAGGAACACCAGUGGCGAAGGCGGUUCUCUGGGCCUUUCCUGACGCUGAGGAGCGAAAGCGUGGGGAGCGAACAGGCUUAGAUACCCUGGUAGUCCACGCUGUAAACGGUGGGUACUAGGUGUGGGGUCCAUUCCACGGGUUCCGUGCCGUAGCUAACGCUUUAAGUACCCCGCCUGGGGAGUACGGCCGCAAGGCUAAAACUCAAAGGAAUUGACGGGGCCCCGCACAAGCGGCGGAGCAUGCGGAUUAAUUCGAUGCAACGCGUAGAACCUUACCUGGGUUUGACAUGGAUCGGGAGUGCUCAGAGAUGGGUGUGCCUCUUUUGGGGUCGGUUCACAGGUGGUGCAUGCCUGUCGUCAGCUCGUGUCGUGAGAUGUUGGGUUAAGUCCCGCAACGAGCGCAACCCUUGUUCACUGUUGCCAGCACGUUAUGGUGGGGACUCAGUGGAGACCGCCGGGGUCAACUCGGAGGAAGGUGGGGAUGACGUCAAGUCCUCAUGCCCCUUAUGUCCAGGGCUUCACGCAUGCUACAAUGGCUGGUACAGAGAGUGGCGAGCCUGUGAGGGUGAGCGAAUCUCGGAAAGCCGGUCUCAGUUCGGAUUGGGGUCUGCAACUCGACCUCAUGAAGUCGGAGUCGCUAGUAAUCGCAGAUCAGCAACGCUGCGGUGAAUACGUCCCCGGGGCU
rnacentral:rRNA from 1 species